ACUCAACACGGGAAACCUCACCCGGCCCGGACACGGACAGGAUUGACAGAUUGAUAGCUCUUUCUCGAUUCCGUGGGUGGUGGUGCAUGGCCGUUCUUAGUUGGUGGAGCGAUUUGUCUGGUUAAUUCCGAUAACGAACGAGACUCUGGCAUGCUAACUAGUUACGCGACCCCCGAGCGGUCGGCGUCCCCCAACUUCUUAGAGGGACAAGUGGCGUUCAGCCACCCGAGAUUGAGCAAUAACAGGUCUGUGAUGCCCUUAGAUGUCCGGGGCUGCACGCGCGCUACACUGACUGGCUCAGCGUGUGCCUACCCUACGCCGGCAGGCGCGGGUAACCCGUUGAACCCCAUUCGUGAUGGGGAUCGGGGAUUGCAAUUAUUCCCCAUGAACGAGGAAUUCCCAGUAAGUGCGGGUCAUAAGCUUGCGUUGAUUAAGUCCCUGCCCUUUGUACACACCGCCCGUCGCUACUACCGAUUGGAUGGUUUAGUGAGGCCCUCGGAUCGGCCCCGCCGGGGUCGGCCCACGGCCCUGGCGGAGCGCUGAGAAGACGGUCGAACUUGACUAUCUAGAGGAAGUAAAAGUCGUAACAAGGUUUCGGUAGGUGAACCUGCGGAAGG
rnacentral:rRNA from 1 species